UGUAAACAUCCCCGACUGGAAGCUGUAAAGAUACAACUAAGCUUUCAGUCAGAUGUUUGCUGC
rnacentral:pre_miRNA from 1 species